AAGUCGUAACAAGGUUUCCGUAGGUGAACCUGCGGAAGGAUCAUUCAUGUGAUUUUAACACCCAACUUUAUGCAAACUAUUAGUAGCUAAAGUGCUAAAGGUUCUGUGUUUUUCUUUUGUUGGCUGCGUUUUCUUUUACCUCAUACUAUUUUCAAAGCACUAUAAACAGGGGUAUUUUUACCCAGAAAAUAGUUAAAGAAAUGAUAAAUGCUACCUUUAAUUUACACUAAAAUUCACUCUAAAUCAUACCAUAAAACAUGUAAACUAUUACAACUUUUAACGAUGGAUCCCUCGGCUCUUA
rnacentral:misc_RNA from 1 species